GUUCUUAUAGUUGAAUUACAACAGUGGUUUUUCAGCCCGCCAGUUUUGGUUAAAGUCCAGAUGAGAAUU
rnacentral:tRNA from 1 species